rnacentral:misc_RNA from 1 species
GAUGUGGGUGUAGCAAAUCCAAACCAGGGAGAAAAACCAGUUCAGACUCCCGAGUCUUUGGCAUUUAAAAUUGAAGAAGAAUUAUUUAAAUUAUUUGGUGGUGUUAAUAAGAAGUACAAGGAAAAAGGAAGGUCCCUUUUGUUCAACCUGAAAGACAGAAAUAAUCCUGAAUUGAGAGAAAGGGUUAUGAGUGGGGAAAUUACCCCCGAAAGAUUAUGCUCGAUGACUG